UACGGUAGGGCGCAAGCGUUAUCCGGAAUUAUUGGGCGUAAAGAGCUCGUAGGCGGUUUGUCGCGUCUGCCGUGAAAGUCCGGGGCUCAACUCCGGAUCUGCGGUGGGUACGGGCAGACUAGAGUGAUGUAGGGGAGACUGGAAUUCCUGGUGUAGCGGUGAAAUGCGCAGAUAUCAGGAGGAACACCGAUGGCGAAGGCAGGUCUCUGGGCCGAUACUGACGCUGAGGAGCGAAAGCGUGGGGAGCGAACAGG
rnacentral:rRNA from 1 species